rnacentral:tRNA from 1 species
UGGCUCAGAGGGUAGAGCGUCUGCCUGCAAUGCAGGAAACCCAGGUUCUAUCCCUGG